rnacentral:tRNA from 1 species
AUUUUGAUGGCUGAAUGAUAGGCGGUAGAUUGUAAAUCUACUUAUGGGAUUCCCUCUUGCUAUG